CUGGAGAUUGCUCCUUAUGGAGUUUGUUGUGAGCCUACAAUGUAGACAGCAGUCAAGAGGCAACCUGACGAAAUGGCAUGGAAGUUCCUAUGAAACAACUGCAUGUGGUUGAAUUUCUCCAUGCAUAAAAAAUAGCGCCCACUGACAUUCAUCAACACUUGCUGAAUAUUUAUGGAGACCCAACAGUAGAUGUGAGCGUAGUGAGGUGGUGGAUGGUGCAUUUCAGCAUUGGUGACAGCAACGUGAAACACAGCCGUGCACAGCUGUCACAACAUGAAGAGUUUUGUGGUCAAGGUCAUCCAUAUGAAUUGGUGGAUUAUUACCAGGGAACUGUGUACGAAGCUGAAUAUUGGCUUCAAAGCAUUAGACUUGAUAGUUGUAAUGUUGGAGUAUUACAGCUUGGUUCUGGUGGGUCACACAAAUGCACACAGGAAAAUAAAUAACAUUGUAUGCAAGUUGGUCAGGAUCUAUGGAAACAAUAUGAGGCUGAAGGUGACAGUUUCCUGCAUCAUGACCAGUGACAAGAUAUGGUGUCACCACUAUGAGUUGGAGUCAAGCAGUUCAGGAGUAGCAACAUAUGAUUUCCCUGUCAGAAAAAAAAACUCGAGGUACAACUCACAGCAAGUAAGGCAAUGUGUACUCUCUUUUGGGAUAGGACAGGAGUGAUCCUUCUGCUUUCCUGGAACCUAAAUGAACCAUUAUCUCUGACUACUACAUAAUGAUUCUGACUAAGCGACUCUAACUAAGUUGAAGGUUCAAACUUCCAGAGUCAGGUCACAGAAAAAGACAACCUUUCUCUAGAAGCAUAAUAAUGCCAGGUCCUGUACUACUCCAAAGAGCAUGGAGCACAUUGCCAAUCUUGGCUGGACUGUCUGAGCCUGCCUACCAUAUAGCCUGAAUGUGGCUCCUCAUGACUUUCAUCUGUUUGGGCUGAUGAAAUAUGGGCUACAUGGACAACAUUUUACUAGCAACAAUACUGUCAUAGCAGCUGUGAAACAGUGAGUCACCUCUACUGCUGCCGAUUUUUACAAGUGUGACAUAAAGUCCCAUGUUCAUUGCUGUCAAAAAUGCAGAGCUAACGGUGAUGACUAUAUUGAAAAAUACUGUUUUAUAGCUGAGAAUUUUCUUAAUCAAACACUGUUAUUGUGUUUGUUGUAUCUGCUUAUUCCCAUGGAAAUAAUUAGGAAGAUUUACUUUCAGAGUGGUCUUAUUCCAUGCUUUAUUUUCUAUGUAAAAACAACUGUCAAGAAUAUAUUUGUUUUAUUAUUUAUUUGUUAUCCUCUUUGUAUUGUAUUCAGGGAGACUUUUAGUGAUAAAAAUUGUAAAGCUUUUUGCAAAAUAUAUAUUGAAAGUUUUGUACUAUCUCAGUACCCAAGAGAUUUCUAAAAAACCUUUUUUUUGAUAAAUUUCAAGUAAUGAUGCAAGAAACAAAUAGACCUGAAUAAACAUAUUUGUUUUAGUCCUCACAAUGGACAACAGUGGACAACUUCACUAUGCUUU